UGUGACGCGGAGGGACAUUACCGAGUUUACAACUCCCAAACCCCAAUGUGAACGUUACCAAACUGUUGCCUCGGCGGGAUUUCUGCCCCGGGCGCGUCGCAGCCCCGGACCAAGGCGCCCGCCGGAGGACCAAUUUACAAACUCUUUUGUAUAUCCCAUCGCGGAUUCUUUACAUUCUGAGCUUUCUCGGCGCUCCUAGCGAGCGUUUCGAAAAUGAAUCAAAACUUUCAACAACGGAUCUCUUGGUUCUGGCAUCGAUGAAGAACGCAGCGAAAUGCGAUAAGUAAUGUGAAUUGCAGAAUUCAGUGAAUCAUCGAAUCUUUGAACGCACAUUGCGCCCGCCAGUAUUCUGGCGGGCAUGCCUGUCCGAGCGUCAUUUCAACCCUCGAACCCCUCCGGGGGGUCGGCGUUGGGGAUCGGCACUUACCUGCCGGCCCCGAAAUACAGUGGCGGUCUCGCCGCAGCCUCUCCUGCGCAGUAGUUUGCACACUCGCACCGGGAGCGCGGCGCGUCCACGGCCGUAAAACAACCCAAACUUCUGAAAUGUUGACCUCGGAUCAGGUAGGAAUACCCGCUGAACUUAAGCAUAUCAAAAAGCCGGAGGAAAAUGUAAUU
rnacentral:rRNA from 1 species